UACGGAAGGCAGCAGUGGGGAAUAUUGCACAAUGGGCGCAAGCCUGAUGCAGCCAUGCCGCGUGUAUGAAAAAGGCCUUCGGGUUGUAAAGUACUUUCAGUCGUGAGGAGGUGUUAAGGUUAAUAACCUUAGCAAUUGACGUUAGCGACAGAAGAAGCACCGGCUAACUCCGUGCCAGCAGCCGCGGUAAUACGGAGGGUGCGAGCGUUAAUCGGAAUUACUGGGCGUAAAGGGCACGCAGGCGGUUAAUUAAGUUGGAUGUGAAAUCCCCGGGCUUAACCUGGGAAUGGCAUUCAAGACUGGUUAGCUAGAGUCUUGUAGAGGGGGUAGAAUUCCAUGUGUAGCGGUGAAUGCGUAGAGAUGUGGAGGAAUACCGGUGGCGAAGGCGGCCCCUGGACAAAGACUGACGCUCAUGUGCGAAAGCGUGGGGAGCAAACAGGGAUUAGAUACC
rnacentral:rRNA from 1 species